rnacentral:lncRNA from 1 species
GGUUCAUUUCUUUAACAUCUGGCAUGCGCACACAUCCCUUCAGAGAAGCUGGGAGAAGGAAGGAGGAAAGGAGAGGGAGUUGAAAGGAGAAGGGGAGUUUGGAUGAAGAGGAGGUCGAUUGGCUUGGAGAACGGUGGGGUCUGGAGCGCUACUUGCUCCGCCACGAGGUUCUGUCCACGCGCCCUGCUGGAGUCCCCAAGAGGUGAUGAUAUACCGGAUUCCCUCGUGCGUAUUGUGACAUUUCUAGAAGAUUCAUCAGUCCUUGCUCUGGUGUCAGAAGUGAAGGUGGAGAGAGAAGCAGCUUCAGGAACCAGUGUGGCGUGAAGGCACUACCUCUCUGUCCCCUGUGGUACCGCUCUGUCGGGUUUGUGCACGUGAGCGCAGAUGCCAUUUGAAGCCAGAAGAGGGCGUUGGAUCCUCAGAACUGGAGGAAGCUGUGAGCUACCUGGUGUGGGUGCAAUAUAAACUCUUAAUCUCAGAACCGUUCCUCCCACCCGCAUGUGAUUUUUAAAACAUCAUCUGUUCUGUUGAUACAAUGCAUUACGUCUAUAUAUUUGCAUGUGUUGAACCAACACUGCAACCUCCAACUUGAUAGUGGUGAAUGAUCAUUUUUUAUAUGCUGUUGUAUUUAAAUUCUUGGUGUUUUGGAAAUAAGCAUCUAUAUUCGUCA